UACGGAGGGGGCUAGCGUUGUUCGGAAUUACUGGGCGUAAAGCGCACGUAGGCGGCUUUGUAAGUUAGAGGUGAAAGCCCAGGGCUUAGCCCUGGAAUUGCCUUUAAGACUGCAUCGCUAGAAUUGUGGAGAGGUAAGUGGAAUUCCGAGUGUAGAGGUGAAAUUCGUAGAUAUUCGGAAGAACACCAGUGGCGAAGGCGACUUACUGGACACAUAUUGACGCUGAGGUGCGAAAGCGUGGGGAGCAAACAGG
rnacentral:rRNA from 1 species